rnacentral:tRNA from 1 species
ACAUUGUUAGUAUAAGUAUUAUUUUACUUUUCCAAAGUGAAGAUCUAGAUUAUCUAGACAAUGUA